CAGCACCUCAAGUGGUCAGGAGGAUUAUUGGGCCUAAAGCAUCCGUAGCCUGUUCUAUAAGUUUCCGGUUAAAUCCAUUAGCUCAACUAAUGGGCUGCCGAAAAUACUGUGGAACUAGGGAGUGGGAGAGGUAGACGGUACUCGGUAGGAAGGGGUAAAAUCCUUUGAUCUAUUGAUGACCACCUGUGGCGAAGGCGGUCUACCAGAACACGUUCGACGGUGAGGGAUGAAAGCUGGGGGAGCAAACCGGAUUAGAUACCCGAGUAGUCC
rnacentral:rRNA from 1 species